GAGAGUAAUGGCAGCUCACAGAAGUUCUACAGAGGGAGUCCAGAUGGUAAGACACCUCUGGGAGGAGAACGUUAACUGUUCCACUACAUCAAUUUGGAGCUGUCACACUUCCCCAUGGGUCGUGAAAUGAGAAAGAAAGUCAUAAAGGUUUGGAAUGACAGAGAGAAGCUGGUAUUCUGGGUUUCGACUUGCCCUAUUGGCCUAGCCACAGCCAGGCAGCCUCUCAUUACACUGGCCGAGGGAGGUGCCCUGGACAUCCCCACCGAAGACAGCCUCACCACACCCCAACGACUACUAUAACAAGUGUGCCCGGCUCCUUG